AUGCAUCAGGAAUGGUCGGGAUAGCUCAGCUGGUAGAGCAGAGGACUGAAAAUCC
rnacentral:tRNA from 1 species